rnacentral:rRNA from 1 species
AUGAUAUACCAAUUCUGCAUAUUGUGGGAGCAGGUCCAGCAACACCGCGGCGAACUAUCCAAUGCCCCCGAUAGCUUCCGAUGGAUUUGGACAAAUUCAGGUAUUUACUCUGCAAGCUCGGCUUACAGGGCCUUCUUUGCAGGCAAGACAAGGCUGCCGGGUGCCGAGCAGCUAUGGUCAUCUGUAGCACCUCUGCGGUUGAAAUUCUUUGGUUGGCUAGUGCUUCAUAAUCGAUGUUGGACCGCGGACAGGCUGAGCCCUAGAGGCUUACCCAACCAGCAGCUAUGCCAACUUUGUAAUCAACAGGUGGAGUCAAUCAAUCAUCUGCUCAUGCAAUGCCCUUUUUCCCGGACGAUCUGGCACAUGGUGGCCCAGCAGCUGCACCUCUCUCUGCAAACCCCGCGGAUUGACUCGGUUCUGGUGGAGUGGUGGGAACAGGCACACAACUCGACGCCAAGGAAGCAGAGACCGGAGCGAAACGCCUUAAUCAAUCUAGUAAUGUUCUACAUAUGGAAGGAGCGUAACAGCCGAAUCUUCGACAAGGUUUCUUCACUUGAGACGGUGAUAGUGGACAAGAUCAAGAUUGAAUGGAGGACGUGGAAACAGGCAUGGAGUCUUAGAGCUAGGAACGGUCAGCUGGUGGGCGAGACUGAGACGUAG